UUCGAACGAUAAAAAAUAAUGACACUGUACCUGACAGUCCGUUUUAAAUGAAAAUUUGAUAAGUAUUUAUCAUAUUAAAAGUUCGCCAAAUUUACCGUUUCGUAUUAAGAGUGUUCCAGUUAUUUCCCACCUUCUGGAUUUAUGAAAAUGAAAGUAUUCCAUAAACAAAAAGUCGUCAACUAUUCAUGUGAGCAAAUUUACUCUAUUGUAUCGGACGUUGAAAAUUAUGCAAAUUUUAUUCCAUUUUGUCGAAAAUCGGAAAUUCUUAACAGAAAAGGUCACAGCCAUAUGCAGGCUACAUUAGAAAUCGGUUUUCCACCGGUUGUCCAAAAGUUUACAUCAACAGUUACUUUAAGAAAACCGUACUUGGUUAAGGCGGUAUCUUAUGAUCGACAUAUUUUAGAGCAUCUAGAAACGAUUUGGAAAUUUUCUCCGUUACCUGAAGCUCCGGAAAAUGCAUGCAUUAUUACCUUUGAUGUAUGUUUUCAAUUUAAAUCAGCAGUUCUUUCUGGAAUAGCUCAAAUGGUAUUUAACAGAAUAGUUAAUCAAAUGGAGUAUGCCUUUUUAGUGGAAGCAGCAAAACGUUUUAAUAAAAAGAAAAAAAAGAACAUUAAUCAUUAGAACAAUAAAGCGGAUUUCCUUCGUAAUUUAAAUUACUAAUAAAUUAUUGUAUUAACAUUCCACACAGUUCUUAUACUCAAAAUUAUUAUAAUUUUGUGUAAAUUAUUAAAUAAAAAGGCUGAGGUCGGCA